AGAGUUUGAUCCUGGCUCAGAACGAACGCUGGCGGCAGGCUUAACACAUGCAAGUCGAACGCUCCGCAAGGAGAGUGGCAGACGGGUGAGUAACGCGUGGGAACAUACCCCCCGGUUCGGAAUAACUCAGGGAAACUUGAGCUAAUACCGAAUACGGUCGAGAGGCGAAAGAUUUAUCGCCGAGGGAUUGGCCCGCGUCCGAUAUUAGCUAGUUGGUGAGGUAAUGGCUCACCAAGGCGACGAUCGGUAGCUGGUCUGAAAGGAUGAUUCAGCCACAUUGGGACUGAGACCCCGCCCCAAACUCCUACGGGAGGCAGCAGUGGGGAAUAUUGGACAAUGGGCGAAAGCCUGAUCCAGCCAUGCCGCGUGAGUGAUGACGGCCUUAGGGUUGUAAAGCUCUUUCAUCAGGGACGAUAAUGACGGUACCUGAAGAAGAAG
rnacentral:rRNA from 1 species